GGGUCAGUAGGUUGGUCGUGCCACCGGUACGUACUGGUCUCACUGAUUCCUCCUUCCUGAAGAACCGUAAUGCCAUUAAUUUGGUGUUGCGUGGAAACAGGACUGUUACUUUGAAAAAAUUAGAGUGUUUAAAGCAAGCUAACGCUUGAAUACAUUAGCAUGGAAUAAUGAAAUAGGACGAUCGAUCCUAUUUUGCUGGUUUCUAGGAUUGACGUA
rnacentral:rRNA from 1 species